GCCUGGAUAGCUCAGUUUGUCAGAGCAUGAUGCUGAUAACCCCAAGGUUGCAGGUUCAAUCCCCGUAUGGGACA
rnacentral:tRNA from 1 species